ACAUACGACCAUAGGGUGUGGAAGACAGGGCUUCCCGUCCGCUCAGCCGUACUUAAGCCACACGCCGGGAGGUUAGUAGUUGGGUGGGUGACCACCAGCGAAUCCCUUCUGUUGUAUGUU
rnacentral:rRNA from 1 species